GUGCUCGCUUCGGCAGCACCUAUACUAAAAUUGGAAUGAUACAGGUUAGAUUAAGAUGGUCCCUGCACAAGGAUGACACACAAAUUCAUGAAGUAUUCCAUAUUUUU
ensembl:snRNA U6 U6 spliceosomal RNA